rnacentral:other from 1 species
AAAUACCUGCUGUGUGCGUGAAUUCGAUAACGUUUUGAGCCAACACAAUUACAUUGGGAGAUUCUUGUUUAUUUACGUAAUAAAUGCCUUUUUUUAGUAAGGACUUAUGAAAUAAAUAACUGAACACCCACCUGCUUAGCAGGUUUCAAAACAAUCGAAUCACGGCAUGGUGGGUAACAU